GACGAACGCUGGCGGCGUGCUUAACACAUGCAAGUCGAACGGAAAGGCCCUGCUUUUGUGGGGUGCUCGAGUGGCGAACGGGUGAGUAACACGUGAGUAACCUGCCCUUGACUUUGGGAUAACUUCAGGAAACUGGGGCUAAUACCGGAUAGGAGCUCCUGCUGCAUGGUGGGGGUUGGAAAGUUUCGGCGGUUGGGGAUGGACUCGCGGCUUAUCAGCUUGUUGGUGGGGUAGUGGCUUACCAAGGCUUUGACGGGUAGCCGGCCUGAGAGGGUGACCGGGCACCAUGGGAACUGGGUACGGCCCAGGAUUCUACCGGAGGGAACCGGGGGGAAUAUUGCACAAAGGGCGGGAGGCCUGAUGCGGAACCGCGGGGGGGGGAAUACGGGCUUUGGGGUGUAAACCCCCUUUGCCUGUGACCGAGCGUGAGGGAAGGGAAUUGGUAAAGAAGGCACGGCUUACUAAGGG
rnacentral:rRNA from 1 species